rnacentral:rRNA from 1 species
CAGUCGCCGCGGGAAUACGGAGGGAGCUAGCGUUGUUCGGAAUUAUUGGGCGUAAAGCGCGCGUAGGCGGUUUUUUAAGUCUGAUGUGAAAGCCCACGGCUCAACCGUGGAGGGUCAUUGGAAACUGGAAAACUUGAGUGCAGAAGAGGAAAGUGGAAUUCCAUGUGUAGCGGUGAAAUGCGUAGAGAUGUGGAGGAACACCAGUGGCGAAGGCGACUCUCUGGUCUGUAACUGACGCUGAGGAGCGAAAGCGUGGGGAGCGAACAGGAUUAGAUACCCCUGUAGUCCCUGUCUCUUAUAC